rnacentral:tRNA from 1 species
GCCUCAUUAGCUCAGUGGUUAGAGCACUGGUCUUGUAAACCAGUGGUCCGGAGUUCAAUUUUCUAAUGGGGCU